UACGGAGGAUCCAAGCGUUAUCCGGAUUUAUUGGGUUUAAAGGGUGCGUAGGCGGCUUUUUAAGUCAGGGGUGAAAGACGGUAGCUUAACUAUCGCAGUGCCUUUGAUACUGAAGAGCUUGAAUGAACUGGAGGUAGGCGGAAUGUGACAAGUAGCGGUGAAAUGCAUAGAUAUGUCACAGAACACCGAUUGCGAAGGCAGCUUACUAUGGUUUUAUUGACACUGAGGCACGAAAGCGUGGGGAUCAAACAGG
rnacentral:rRNA from 1 species